CCUACGGGAGACAGCAGUGGGGAAUAUUGCACAAUGGGGGAAACCCUGAUGCAGCGACGCCGCGUGAGUGAAGAAGUAUUUCGGUACGUAAAGCUCUAUCAGCAGGGAAGAAAAUGACGGUACCUGACUAAGAAGCCCCGGCUAACUACGUGCCAGCAGCCGCGGUAAUACGUAGGGGGCAAGCGUUAUCCGGAUUUACUGGGUGUAAAGGGAGCGUAGACGGCAGCGCAAGUCUGGAGUGAAAGCCCAUGGCUUAACCAUGGAACUGCUUUGGAAACUGUGCAGCUAGAGUGCAGGAGAGGUAAGCGGAAUUCCUAGUGUAGCGGUGAAAUGCGUAGAUAUUAGGAGGAACACCAGUGGCGAAGGCGGCUUACUGGACUGUAACUGACGUUGAGGCUCGAAAGCGUGGGGAGCAAACAGGAUUAGAUACCCCAGUAGUC
rnacentral:rRNA from 1 species